CUAAGUAAGUAUUUCAGAAAAUAAGAUAUUUUAGUAACAAGUAGGUAUAUGAAAAAGUACUAUUCACUAGGGAAAUGCAAAUUUAAAUCAUAAUGAGAUACCAACAUGUAUUUAUCAGAAUGACUAAAACUUUUUUCUUAAAUAAACUAACAAUACUAAGUGUUGGUUAGUGUGUAGAGCAAUUGGAACUCUCAAACAUUGCUGGCAAGAGGAUAUAUUGAUAAAAACAUAUUAGAAAAUUAUUGGUAAUAUCUAUUAAAGCUGAUAUUAUGCCACUCUUACGACCCACCAUUUCUACUUGGAGAUGCAUUUCCAUGAGCAUGGAGUCUACACAUUCACCAAAGACAAAAAAAAUAAAAUGGAGAUUACUGGAAGUUUUAUUUAUUAUUGCCCCAAAGUGGAAACACUCCAAAUGUUACAGGAUCUUUGAAGUGUUGCUUUUCUGGUCAGAAACCUCUGUGGCCAGUGGCACCUUUGCUUGACUUUUGCUUGGGCCUGCCCAGCUCAUUCCAUCCAUUCAGCCUGCCAGGCUGCACUUGGCUCAUGCAGUGGGCCUGGAUCCCACGCCUGCCAAGGAUGAGCCAGGCGUGGAGGGGUAAGGGGUGUGUGAGCGAGUAAGCAUGGGAUCCAGUCACUGCACAUGGUCAGGCAUGCUAGCUGCUACAGUCGGGUGGGCAGCUCUGCAAGGCUGUGGCUGGACCAGGUGCACUGCAAGCAGCUUCCUCAGCUGGCAGCAGGAAAUGCAGUGGUGUCCCUAAGCUCAGAGUUGCCAGGAACCACAGGGCCUUAAAGAGAGAGCCACAGCCCUGGCUUGAAGGGCUAAACCUCUUCUCUCCCUCUCUUCACCCACCAUGUGGUGAGCAAGGGUCAUGUUUCAGACCAGUUUGUAUUACAGGUCUUCUAGACUUGCCAUUCGGCGGUCCAAGUUCUUGUCCUGUGACCAGGAACAAUGAGGCACGCAGACAAGUGGAGGAUGAGCAAAACCAAGAAGAGCUUUAUUGAGCAGUAGACCAGCUCAGAGACCCACUGUAGGUAUCUCCUUCCUGCAGCCACAGUGUCACGAUGAGUGUUCAGCCCUCAGCAGAGAGCAGGAAGCCAUGUGGUGGGUGGCUCCUCUCUGCAGGCAGGUCAUCCCUGGAGUGGGAAGCUCCUCUCUGCUGCUGGUCACCCAUUCUCUGCUGAACUCUGGCUGAGCCCAGGGCUUCUGUGGGCCUCAGAGGGGAGAAAGUGCACACCGAUUAGUUCAUGGCUGGCCAUAGGUGAGCUUGGAAAAGGAACCACAAGUUCCCACUCCAGUGGUGGGACUGGCAGAUGGCCCCCAGCCUUUAGGUCCUCCCUGGACUGAAGCUGAGGCCUCACCAGAAACCCAACCCCUUUCACCCAGGAACCUGUCUGCCUCCUGCUACAUUUAUGGUGCCUGGGCUGGGCCCUGACUUUGCUCCAUUGGAGAGGGCACUCACAGCAGGGAGAAGCCAGGCAUCAGGAGCAAGCACUUCUGAGCCUGCUAGGGCAGGGGGGCCUUCCUGGACCGCCAAGAGUUCAAGGAUGCCUGAGUCUGCAGCUAUGGUUUUCACAGCUGCAGCUGCUAAGGAAAGAGGGGAUCCACUCGAGAAGCAGGAGGCCCAGGUCUGAAGUGGGAGGCCUGGGUCUGCUGCCACAGUUUAGGCGCCUGCUGCUGUACCCAGGAAGGCAAGGCUCCUGCCUGCUGCUGGCCCCUCAAGAGCACAGGGAGGCUCAGAUCUGCAGCUACAAUUUGGGCAGCUGCCACUCCACGCAGGAGGGUGGGGCUACUGUCUGCUGCAUGGAGUUGGAAGCCCAAGUCUGCAGCCAUGGUUUGGGCAGCUGCAGCAGCACCCGGGGAUCUCCCACCCCAGCUUGGAAGGGGCGGGGCUCCCACUUGUCCUGGGCUUCCACCAGCUUCAUGGAGUGUGCAGCUCAGGCUGCCUGCCCCUGCUGCAGCUGGCAUGGUGGCAGCUGCAGGCCUUCUGGAGCAGCCACUGCCAUCACGAACAUCCAUCUAAUAAAACCAAAGUAGACGUCAUGCAUUGAAAUGUUAUGCAACAUUGAAAAGAACGCAGUACCCCUCCAUAGAGCAAAUAAUCUCACAGGCUGAUAAUGAGAAAAUGAAGUUGAACAGAAAACCUUAUAUUAUAUAUGAUUCCAUUUGUAUGAAGUCCAAUUACAGACAAAACUGAGAGCUAACUUUAUGGUUAUAAAGUAAAACGUUGCUUUUGUUGGGGUAUGAGUUGUCACUUCUCAUAAAAGCAGUUCUUUUUUUACUUGCUAUGCUUCCCCUAAAGUACAGGAGAAAGUUUCCCCAAAUGUAACAAUAAGAGCCAGCCAGAUAAACUACAGAAUUAUGGUAUUUUUUAACCCAUCAGAGAACAGAAUACCGGCCAUCCCCAAUUUAUGAUGGUUCAAUUUAUAAUUUUUGCAACCUUAUGUUGGGUUUAUCUGGCCAUAACUCCAUCAUAAAUCAGACUGUAUCUGGACUUACUAUGGUGGUUUGACUUAUAAUUUUUUUCUUACUUUAUGAUGGGUUUAUCAAGACAUAAUCCAAUGAUAAGCCAAGGAGCAUCUGUAUGUAAGGAAACCUAAAGGAAGUGGAUUUCAAAAUAUAAAAAAGCUAUAUUUAGGAGUAAAGAAAUCCAUGGCUGCUUUCAUCUCUGGCAGAAUAAAGGGAAGAGUAGAGAAAAUAUACCUUAGACAGGGGUAUGAAAAAAAGCAGUCAAAUGUUAGCAGAUUUUUAAUGGGCAUGUAUAGUCUCGUAUGAUGGAUUUGAAAUCCAGGGAGCCCCAGUCACAUUCCUAGUCUGCACAUAUCUGCCACUCUUUCUCAUAGGCCUUCACUGAGUACAUGAGUGUAGUAAGGUCUGAGGGAAGAACUAAGGAGAACUAAGAGAGAUCACUCUGAAGGGUGCAGGUUCUUUAGCAUGUGCAAGCAGCUUGCUGAAGAUGGAGGGCAGGGGAGGUGAGCUAAAAGACAUCUCUCUGAGGUUCUCUGGGUCUUCACUAAGUACACUGUAGCUACUCUGUGAAAGCCUAACUUGGGCAGAACUGAUAAAAACCUGCCUGAGUUUUGCUGCGCCUUCUCUUAGUGCACUGAAGUGGCCUUCUGAAGGUUAUUGGAAGGACAGCAGAGUAUAAAGCCAUCUGCAAAGUUCCAGAGAACUGGAGGCAGGAAUGGAGAGCAAAGAGAAGGGCCUAGAUACCAGAAAAGGUGGCAUACGGCCUUUAACACAAUGAUAUCCUCACAUUUCAGAAAGCUGGCGCCUUGAGUAUAAAGCAAAAGGAGGAACCUCCAGAAUUUCACCAGUGCUCACAUUCUAAGGCUGCUAAAGGGAAAGUCCUACUGUAACUCCAGAAAUAUUUGAAACCAGUGGCAAACUGAGUAUAAAGAGCUAUAAUAAGUCUCAGGCUAUACCUACUACAGAUUAGAUUCUCUCAAACUACACCCUCGCCCAAUUAUAGAAUGAGGGCGCCACAUUUUUGGAAAGUGAUUAUUUUUUACUACUAGCUCUGUUGUUCUCUUACACAGACUGUUCAAUAUAAAAAACAAAACUUAUGAAACACAGGAAGAAGCAAAGAAAUCUGUUCACGGUCGAGAGGAAAUCAUUGACUAAUGACAACUCAGAAACAGUCUAGAAACUGGGCCAGUAAUGGAAGCUUGUCGGGCUUUCAAAACACUGAGACAGGUGAACCUUUGUCUGCAUACAGUAGAAAUGCGCUACCAAGAAAACAAGACCUAACCCUAUUGCUUCUCUCUCUCUCUCUCUCUCUCUCUCUCCGUGUGUGUGUGUGUGUGUGUGUGUGUGUGCGCGCGUGCGUGCAUGUGCAUGUGCACACACACACUCCCACCAUUGGGUCAACAAUGUGAUGAAAUCACACAAUUGGUUAGUUUCUAAGGCCAUUCUCAAAUUCAAUAAUUCACUAGGAGGACUCAUAGGAUUCUGCAUACUAAUUGUAUUCAUGGCUGUGGUUUGUUACAGAGAAGGGAUUCAAAGCGAAACCAGCAAAAGCAAAAAUGCAUGGGACCAAGUGGGAAGGAAUCCAGAUAUAAGUUUUCAGGAGUCCUCUCUCAAUAGGGUUUCACAGAAGGCACUUACUUAAGCCCAGCAGCAAGUUAUGGCAAUGUGUGAAAUAUUGUCUACCUGAAGAGCUCACUAGAGACUCAGUGUCCUAGGUUUUGGUUGGGGGCUGGUCACACAGGCACUCUGUGUGGCAUGAAACAAAAAUGAAAAACUUCCAGACACUCAGAAGAAAAGCCUGCUUUCAAAAUAAACCAUAUUGUUUUUACAAACAAUUUAAGCACAGUGAACAACUAUUAUCUUGGCAUGGUGGGAAGCCUCUUGAAAUCCAAUUUCACAAAAACCAACCAAGGGCCAUUCUUGAAAACAGGUCUUUCUAAAGGAUCUGUUUCAGGCCUGCUGCAUUAAUUUUUUUCUAUACAUCCAGGAACAGAAAAAUAUGGAGGAUACUGCAGGGAGAGAGUUUUUUGGAAAGCAACCACAUGAAGUUGUUUAUGCACUCCUGGGUUUGCUCCUGACUUAUACAUGUCUGGGAUCUGUUCCUAAUUGACAUAUGAAAGCUUUCAGAGCUGAACGAAUCUACCAAGACAGUCUUCUGGGAGGUGCACAUAUAGUCAUAUUUGAACAUCAUUGCAAAGCCCUAGAGAACUGAACUGACAUUGGAACCACAGGCGAAAGAAAGCACAUCAGAACAUGUAGUUUGGCAUUAACUAGAUCAAGUGGCUGCUAAAACAAAAAUAUUAACAUUCUCCAUAGAUUUAAACAGUACCAAGCUUCACACAUUUCAAUAUUCAAAGUUUCCAGGAUACAAUAAGAAAGUGCUCAGCAUACACAGAGCUACAAAAAUCCCAGCUGGAAUUGUAAAAUACAAUCAAUAGACACCAACAAUAAGAUGGCACAGAUUUUGGAUUUUCUGAAAAAGAUGUUAAAAAUAGCUGUUAAAAAUUUUUUUUGAACAAGCAAUUACAAAUACUCUGGAAACAAAAGGUAAAAGGGAAAGUAUUAAUGAACAAUAGAUUGAUGAAAAAAAUAUUUUAAAAAGACCAUUAUGAAAGGACACUGUGAACAUACUGAAAGGUCAGUCCACAAAAUGAGAGGAGAUAUUUGCAGUCAUAUAUCUGACAAGGCAUUCCUAUCCAGAAUAGUUAAAGAACACCUACAACUCAACAAUAGAAAAAGCAAGCAACCUAAUUUUAAAAUGAACAAAGGACUUACAUAGACAUUUUUCCAAAGAAGAUAUACAAAUGGCUAAUAAGCAUAUGAAAGAUGGCCAAUAUCACUAUUCAUGUAAAUGCAAAUAAAUACUCUAAUGAAAUAACACUUAACACUCAUUAAGAUGGUUUUAAAUUGAAAAUAGUAAGUGUUGGUGAGGAUGUAGAGAAGUUGGAACCCUUGUGCAUUGCUGAGAAUGUGUAAGGGUGCAUUGGAGGACUGGCACAGUGGCUCACCCCUAUAAUUCCUGCACCUUGGGAGGCUAAAGUGGACAGGUCUCUUGAGCCCAGGAGUUCAAGACCAGCCUGGGCAAUAUGGUGAAACUUCAUCUCUACAAAAUAUACAAAAUAAUAUACACACAGAAACACCAUGUAAUACUACUCAGUCAUAAACAAGAGGGAAUGAAAUAAUGGGACUUACAGCAACCUGGAUGGAAUUGGAGACUAUUAUUCUAAGUGAAGUAACUCAGGAAUAAAAAACCAAACAUCGCACAUUCUCGCUCAUAAUUGGGAACUAAGCUAUGAGGCUGCAGAGGCAUAAGAAGGAAACAAUGGACUUUGGGGACUCAGGAAAGGAUGGGAGGGAAGUGAGGGAUAAAAGACUGCAUAUUAGGUACAGUGUACACUGCUUGAGUGAUGGGUUCCCCAAAAUCUCAGAAAUCGCCACUAAAGAACUUAUCCAUGUAACCAAACACCACCUGUUCCUCAAAAACCUAUUGAAAUAAAAAAUGAAUUUAAAAGAAAUGACAGCCUGGAUAAAGAAAAUGUAGUACAUAUACACCAUGGCAUACUAUGCAGCCAUGAAAAAGAACAAGAUUGUGUCCUUUGCAAGGACAUGGAUGGAGCUGCAGUUCAUUAUUCUUAGCAAGUUAACACAGGAACAGAAAACCAAAUACCACAGGUUCUCACAUAUAAGUGGGAGCUAAAUGAUGAGAACACAUGGACACAUAGGAGGGAACAACACACACUGGGGCCUAUUGGAGAGUGGAAGGUGGGAGGAGGGAAAGGAUCAGGAAAAAUGACUAAUGGAUAUUAGACUUAAUACCUGGAUGAUGAAAUAAUCUGUACAACAAAGUCCCAUGACACAAGUUUACCUAUGUAACAAACUUCCACAUGUACCUGUGAACUUAAAAUAAAAGUUAAAAAAAAGAUGGAUGCAGAACAUCAGUGAAAAUAAUGGAGUGAGAAUCUCCAAAACUGUCUCAUCCAUAAAAGUAUGAAGAUACUAGCAAAACUUGUCAAAAUCAACUUUUUCAGAAUUCUAAAAAUUAAUUAAAAGCUUUCAGUAAUCUGGGAAGCAUUUUGUCAAGAAAAAUGGCUGAAUGUUGGUAAUAUCAAGGAGAUUUGUGACAUAAUCACACUGAAAACCAACAGCCUAGAUGCCACUGGAUGGAAGAGAAUAUAAUUGGAGGUCCUUCAAAGCCUUAUUCCUAGAGAAGGAUCAUUCUGUGUCCUGUCUGGUAGUCUCCUGAAAGACCCCACUUGCAAGGUGGCUUUUAUGUGAACUGACUCAGAAUCCUCCCAGUGGCAGUAGCUUUUUCUCCAAGUCUAUUCAUUGAAUAAAAUCAGAAGCAAUUGUUUAGCAUCGUAGCUUCAUGAGACAGUGACAAUAUUUAGAGAAAACAACAGGUUAAACAAAAAGCUUAAAAGGAAAAAGUAAUGAGGUAACCAUGUUGGGGUGGGGGUAAGGGUGUUGAAAAGCUCUGAUAUGUUCUUAGGAAUCUCAAAGGAUGUACUCAAAGUAUGCAUAGGUCUGUGCACAUGCUCAAGAGAGACCCCAAAAGGCCCUAGGCUGUCAUCACUGGCUAAUCAUGAGGUAUUAUGCAAGCAGGAAGUAAAGGUGAAGCUGGAUUUGUAAACUCCCUGACUGAGUAUUGAAAGUAUACUCCAAUAUGCACAUAGAGAUGUUCAGAAAAUACUAGGUCUUAAUGGUUUGAGGGUUUAAGUAAAUCUUUGUCUAAUCAUAAGUGAUUCAAUCUUCAACUAAGUGAGCAGAAACUUCAGUGGCCACAUUUAACAAAAAAAUACAGAUUUAUUUCAGACAAUUUACUAAACAAACACCAGCAGCAAACAGCAACCACAAACUGUGAGGGGAUGAGGGGAGAGAGAACUCAUUUCCAGAAUUGCCAUUGUUUUAUUUAAAAUGUUCAGUGUUCAGUAAACAUUUAUGAUGCAUGCAAAAAAGUACAGAAAAUGCAUAGAGUGAAGGAAGAAACCAGUCAAUAGAAAUUUUCCCUGAAAAGGUCCAGAUGUUGGAUUUACAAGAGAAAUACUACUAGCUAUUUGAAAUAUACUCAAAGAGCUGAAGAGGAUUAUGUUGGAAAAUUAAAGGAAAUUAUGAGAAAAAUGUCUCACCAAAUUGAGAGUAUCAAUAAAGACAGAAGUCAAUCAAAAGAUCUAAAUAGAAAUUCUAAAGGUGAAAAGUACAACAUCUGACAUAAAAAAUUCAUGUCAGGCAUGGUGGCUCAGGGCUCACACUUGUAAUCCCAGCACUUUGGGAGGCUGAAGUGGGUGGAUCACUUGAGGUGAGGAGUUCAAGACCAGCCUGGCCAACAUGAUGAAACCCCGUCUCUACUAAAAAUACAAGAAUUAGUUAGGCAUGAUGGCAGGUACCCAUAAUCCCAGCUGCUCAGGAGGCUGAAGCAGGAGAAUCACUUGAACCUAGGAGGCAGAAGUUGCAAUGAGCCAAAAUUGUGCCAUUGCACUCCAGCCUAGGUGACAGAGCAAGGCUCCAUCUCAAAAAAAAAAAAAAAGAAAGAAAGAAAGAAAAGAAAAAUACACUAGAGGGGCUCAACUGUAGAUUUGAGCAGGUAAAAUAAAGAAGUAAAAAAGAAGUAAAAAAAAAAAACUUUAAAAUACAUCAAUUGAAAUUAUUACAGCCUGACUAAAAGAAAAAAAAAGACUAAAGAAAAAUAACAGAGCCUCAGAGAUGGGAGGCAUAACAUCAACCAUACUAAAAUGCACAUGAUAAUAUCCCCUGAAAGAGAGGAAACAGAGAAAUGGGAUAGAAAGAAUAUUUUAGGAAAAAUAGCCAAAAACUUUCAAAAUCUGAUGAAAAAUAUUAAGCUGCACGUCUAAGAAGCUCAACAAAACUUAAUUAGGAUAAAUUCAAAGAUACAAGAUAACUCAUAAUUUAAAAAAUCAGAAGAAAAAGACAAGGAAUCUUUAAUGCAGCACAAAAAAGGUGGAUAUCAUGCGUUAAGGGACCCUCAAUAAGAUUAACAGCUGAUUUCUAAUCAGAAAUAAUGUACGAUAGAAGACAGUGGGAUAACAUUUAACGUCCUGGGGAAGAGAGGGACAGAGAGUGCAAACAAAGAAUUCUAUAUGAAGAAAAACUUUCCUCUAAAUAUGGAGGAGAAAUCAAGACAUACCCAGAUAGCCAAAGGCUCAGAAAGUUUUUCUCUAGCAUACUUCCCUGAAAAGAAAUGUUAAAGGAAGUUUUUCUGGCUGAAAUGAAAAUACACUUGAUAAUAACUUGAUUCCACAUGAAGAAAUAAACAGCACUGAUGAAGGUAAUUACAUAGGUGAAUUUUAUUAUCUAUAAAUUAUAUCUCAAUGAAAACAUUAGCAAAGUCCCAGGGACUUGUGAAAUAUCAACAAAAAGUCUGAUAUUUGUAUCAUUGAAAUACCAGAAGUUAAAAAGAAACAGCAUGGUGCUGAAAAUAUUUUUUAAUAAAUAAUGGCUAAAAACUUGCAAAAUUUAGUCAAUGAUACAUACCUACAGAUUUUGUAAUCCCAGGAUAAAUCAAUAAAAAUGUUUACACAGAGACACAGUCAAAAUCACAGUAGGCAAAUUAAAAUACAGUAUGACAAUAUAUCCAAGUAACACAUGAGAGUGCAGGAAAGGGGUAACAGGAAUGAGAAAGAACAGACCAAAAUAAGUAAUAAGUUGGUAGACCAAAUUCCAGGCACACCUAUAUUUACAUUAAAUAUAAUUGGUCUAAGCAUUCCAACUGAAAGAAAUAAAUUAUCAGAAAUGAUAUUGAAGCAUAUUCCUACUAUAAGCUAUCUCUAAUAAACUGACUUCAAAUAUAUUGAAUAAUGUUAAAAAUAAAAGGAGAAAAAUAGAUACCAUGCAAACAUGAAACCAAAAAAAAAAAGCUGGAUGGCUAUAUUAAUAUCAGCCAAAGUGAACAUCAGAGCAAUGAAAACUAACAAGGAUAGAGUGGACUAUUACAUGUUGAUGUGAGAGUUAAUUCACCAAAGAGGCAUAACAACUGCAUAAAGGUAUAUGUUCCUAACAAAAAAAAACCUUCAAAAUAAAAGAAGCAGAAACUGAUAGUGCUGAAAGAGUAAAUACACAAGUCUACAAUCAUAAUUGGAGAUGUCAAUAAUCUCUCAGUAAUGGUGAGGAAUUAAACAAAAAUCCAAAAUAUAGAAUAACUGAUCACCAUAACUAACAAGAUCUAAUUAAUGUUAUAGGACACCACUCAACAACAGCAGAAAACACAUUGAUAUCAAAUGCACAUGGCCAGAACCAAUUAGUGUAUACCUAAUUAUUAAAGCUGUGAAUGACCGUAAGGACCCUCAAGUUUGUAGGCAGCUGGUGUGAAGUCAGGGUAGCCUGAGAACUCCUACACUUGCAGCUCGUGUCUGAGAUGAAGAGUCCUGGAGGGCUGCUCCCUCAGACAUUGCAGUUGGCAAGCUCACUGCAGUAGGCCUCUCAAAAUUGCGGGCAGAUUUGGGUGACUGUAAGACUGGUCUUGAACCAUGAAUUUUACUGGCUCUAGGUAAUAACUAUAAAAUUUUAAAAUUAUAAAUUAUUAUUUCAGCACCCCUUUUCACUCUCAAAUAUCUUUAUUUGGAUAAUGGAUAGUCAUUCUACUAUUAGAUAACUAAAAUCAUUUAAUUUACUAUAUAUGCCCUUUUUACUUAACAUGUAAAUUAUCAAAUCCUUUUAUAAUUUUCUUGGUGUUUUGUGACAAAAUAAAACUGGGAGCAUUUUCACACACACACACACACACGCACACACACACACUCAUUCUCUAAACACUACUGAGAAAAAAAAAUAUUAAACAGAAAACUUAAACAAUGAGAAAGUACCAAAAGGCUGAGUUUGCCUGGCUUAGAUGUGUUGGGACGAACCUUUGUUAAACAACGUAUCACAUGAACCAUAAGAGCAGAUGAUUUCUCAGAGGAGAGAAAAUAUUUUGAUCCAUCCUCAUUCUCUGCACCUGAUUCCCAGAUGCAGGGAUGCACUGAUAAAUAAAAAGAUACAGCUGUCACAAACUACAGUAGAACGGUCUUUUGAUGAGUCAGUUCCCUGUCUGAAUCAACAACUCUCUUCAGGAAUUUUCAUUCAGAUUAUCAUUCCCUUCAUGUAGUUCACCCAGGAGAAGAGGGAGAUAGGCAUCAUAUCCUGUCCAGUGGUGUGAUAAUAUAUUCAGGCAUGAUUACUUGCAAAAGAAUAAAAAAACUAAUUAGAAAAGUUCAUAUUUGGAAGGUAGAUUAAUACAGCACUUUAUAUUCUACAUCGUUCCAAGAUAUACUAGGUGCAUCUGCUUAGCUUACAGAACGCUAAUCUCAGUCCACAUAGCCUUUAUUGAAUUAAUAGCCACCCUAGCUGAUAUUUAUAGAUUGCUGAAGAUACACUAGACCCUGUGCUACAUGUUCGAUAUGAAGUAUCUCUUCUAACCCUCACAACCUCCAUAUAAACAGGGUACCAUUAUGGUUUCCCAUUUUAAAAAUUACGGAAGUGGUGUUAAAGAAGUUCAAUAUAAUGUCCAAUUUCACUCACCUAGGCAGAGCAUGGACUGACCAGGCCAUCUGACUUCAAAGGCAUACUGCCUUUGUGGUCCCAAAUGAGAUGGGUAUAUCUAUGGCCCUUCAAGUUUACCUGUGAAAUAGGAACAUUUGCAGCAACCAAGUAAUAUUGAUGGUCUCUAAAAAUGUUCUACAAGUGUUGUGUAUUGACAAAUGCCAAGUCUGGGCACCGUUCUUUCUAUUUAUAGAUCAGAGAAGCCAUAUUUUUAUAUUUACAAAAUUGGCAUAGGACAUAGACUAUAUUUGGUAGCCAAAGGGAAAGAGAAUAUUGUCUUUAAUAUUUCAAAAAAAGAACUUCUUUCAAAAAAUGUUUUUCUAUAUUACAGCCUUGAAAUGUGUGUCUUCUAAAGAAAACAUAAGGGCUUGGCCUCUGUGUCUAAAGUAGGGAACCAUAAAUAGGGGUUAGCAAAAACAAAGAAACAACAAACAAAAACCAAGAAAGACAGAGAGAGAAAUGAAUAAAUGGAUGUCCUAAAUGUAAUAGCAUUGGUGUUCCUCAGCCUUAUACCUUAAGAACCAUUCAGGAUUCUGUAUUUCCAGUUUGAGAAGAGGUAAAGUAGACACUCUGAAAUAAAGGUAGCACCUAUUAUAAAUCUUUAGUUUUCCAAAAGCUAGGAAGAAAAACAACAGCCCUCAGUAAUCAGCAUGUUUCAGUGCUAAUACAAUGGACUAUAAUGAUUCACCUAGGCUACCUCUACGCUUAUAGAGUCAGCGAAAUAGAAGAAUAGGUUAUUACCACUUUAGUAUACAGAAAACUAAAUAUAUUGUAUUGAUAUUUAUUAAACUCAUUAUUAUUAUCCUGUAAUAACAAUCUAAUAUAUCAAUAAUCUCAGAAGAAAUGGAAGUGAAGAUUAAAAUAUGUAAACCCAGAAAUAUUUCAUAAAUAAAAUUAAAUAGUAAAAUAAUGUACAAAAGAAGUUAUUACACAAACAUAUGAAGGUUAAUCCUCAAAGUUAUUUUUAAAAGUAAUAAAAAUUUGAACAAAAUAUAGUUGUCAAAAUCUCUAUAAAAUAAGCAGUUGUAUUAAAAGUAUAUUAUACAGGGCUGGUAAUGGUAUGGAAGAAUGACAUACAUAUUUAUGCACUUUAGGUAAGAGUGUUCAAUUAUGUGCUAUUUUUGAAAAAUGUUUUGUCAUUAUAUUCAAGAACCUUAAAUAUAUUCUUAUGUUUUGACCCAGUAAUUACCUUCUGUGAAAUUAAAUUAAACAGAAUACUUCUAAAUAUAUAAGAUUAGUGCAAAAGUGUAUUAAUUGCUACAAUAUAUGUAACAAAUAAUCUAGUUAAGCAAUAAUAUGUAUAUGAUUAAAUAGAAUAUAAAUAAUUAAUAUUAUCAGAAAAACCAAGGUAUAUCAAAUUUUAGUAAGUCCUAGACUGAACUUGUGAUCUUCCCCCUAAAACCUGUUCUUCCUGAAGUUGAUCUCAAAUGAAUUAACUAAGGCAAACCCAGACUUAUCAUUUCCUUAGGUCAGAAAUCUUGUCCUUAUCUUCGGCUGCUUCCAAAUUCUACACCCAGUUUAUCACCAACUGUGCCUAAACGCACAUUUAAAAAUUAUCUGAGUCCUCACUGCUUUCACUGUGGUCCAAGUGCCAUCACCUCUUGCCUCGAUUAUUGAAGUUGUCUCCUAUGUAGUUACCUUGCCCUUCAACCCUCUAUAGUCUAUUCUCUGCACAGCAGUCAGAGUGAUCCUAUUAAAUGAGAAGUCAAAUCAUGCUACUCCUCAACUCAUAACCUUCCAGAGGCUCCUUAAUUCCCUAUGAGUAAAAGUUAAAAUCUUUAUAACGGUCUACAACAAUGCUCUCCAAUAGAAAUAUAAAGGUAGCCACAGUUUUUUAUUUUAUGUAUUUAUGUGUUUAUUUUUGUUUAUUUUAUUUUUUUUUUUUUUGAGACAGAGUCUUGGUUUGCGUCAUCUCGGCUCACUGCAACCUCCACCUCUGGAUUCAAACGAUUCUCCUGCCCCAGCCUCCCAAGUAGCUGUAAUAUAGAAAUACAUUUUUUGAAAGAAGUUCUUUUUUGAAAUAUUAAAGACAAUAUUCUCUUUCCCUUUGGCUACCUUAAAUAUGGAUUAACAAAAACAAACAAAAACCAAGAGAGACAGAGAGAGAAAUGAAUAAAUGGAUGUCCUAAAUGUAAUACCAUUGGUGUCCCUCAGCCUUAUACCUCCCGAGUAGCUGGGAUGACAGGCGCGAGCCACCACACCCAGCUAAUUUUUGUAUUUUUAGUAGAAAUGGGUUUCACCACGUUGUCCAGUCUGGUCUCAAACUCUUGACCCCAGGUGAUCCACCUGCCUCGACCUCCCAAAGUGCUGGGAUUACAGGUGUGAGCCACCGUGCCCAGCCAGUAGCCACAAUUUUUUCUAGUAACCACUUAAAAAAUAAAAAGGAGCAGAUCAAUUAAUAUUUAAAUAUACUAUAUUUUACCCAAUAAAUAUAUUAUCAUUUUGCUAUAUAAUCCACAUAAAAAUGUAUUAAUGAGAUAAUUAUUCUUUUCUCUAUAGUAGGUAGUCUUCGAAAGUCAGUGUAUAUUUUUCAUCUAAUACGUACCUCAAUUUAGACAAGCACUCAAGAACUCAACAGCUAGCCAAAAGUGACUAGUGGCUACCACAGUGAAGCAUAGAACUCUAAAGUCCGAUAUGGCCUACUACCUGCCCUCAACUCUGUGAGCUUAUCUCAGAAUACUCAUCUCCUCACUCAAUGUGCUGGAGCCACACUGGACUUCCUAGUAUUCCUGGCACAUACCAGCCCAGUUAUUUCCGUGCAGCUAUCCCAUGACUCAUUGCUUCACUUUAUAAAGAUCUUUGCUUAAAUGACAGUUUUUCAGAGAACAUUGCCUGAUUACUCUCUUAAAAAUUGAACACAAGUCUCCAGCAUUUUGUUUUACUUUAUUUUUUUCUACAACAUUUAUCACCUAACAUAUUCAUAUACUUUACUUUUUCUAUAUUCUACCCCUAGGAUUUAAGCUCCAUUAUGUUACCAGGGCAAAAUAUGUUACCUAUUUUGAUCAUUUUUUGUAUGAAUAGGACUAGAAGAGUACUUGGAAAACACAGGCAGUGCUAUAUAUGCAAUCGUUCAACGAGGAUUUGCAUUCAUGUCGUGGUUCAUUGCCUAGGUGCUGAGUGCUGGAUAAAAAUUACCUCCCAUCCAGACACUAUAGGCUAUAUUUUUCUCACAUGGGUUUGGCCAAACUAAUGCAAGAAGCCCCAAAUCCACCAUUUAAGCUAGAGAACUUGCUUUGUUCCUAUCUAAAGAAAAAUCAUUAAAAUAAGAUGAACACACAUGUUUUCAGAUUUGUAUCUCUGGUAUAAUGGCUUUAGAUUCGUAAUAUGCUUCAUGCCUUCUCCCCCCUCCAUUUUUACAUACCUGUCAAAAAACAGAACACUUGUUCGGUGCUCUGAAAGUAAGGUGGCAUGUAUUCUUCACGAUAUUAAUUUCAAGCAUUUUUUUUUUACUAAAUUAACAACGUCAUCAACAUCAGCAUUGAAAAGUUGUCACUCAGAAUAACUCUUAGCCAAUUUAUUCAUUUUCCA
rnacentral:lncRNA from 10 species